AACGAACGUUAGCGGCGCGCCUAACACAUGCAAGUCGAACGCGACAGGGGCAACUCUGUUGAGUGGCGCACGGGUGAGUAACACGUAGGUAAUCUCCCCCCGAGUGGUGGAUAACCUUCCGAAAGGAGGGCUAAUACAGCAUAAGACCACGGCUUCGAAAGGAGCUGAGGUCAAAGCGGAGGAUCGCAAGACUUCGCGCUUGGGGAUGAGGCUGCGGCCCAUCAGGUAGUUGGCGGGGUAACAGCCCACCAAGCCUAAGACGGGUAGCUGGUCGGAGAGGAUGAUCAGCCACCCUGGAACGGAGACAGGGUCCAGACUCCUACGGAAGGCAGCAGUGGGGAAUCUUGCGCAAUGGACGAAAGUCUGACGCAGCGACGCCGCGUGGGUGAUGAAGGCCUUCGGGUUGUAAAGCCCUGUGGAGAGGGACGAAUAAGUUUCAGCUAAUACCUGAAGCGAUGACGGUACCUCCUUAGCAAGCACCGGCUAACUCUGUGCCAGCCGCCGCCGUAA
rnacentral:rRNA from 1 species